AUUGAACGCUGGCGGCAGGCCUAACACAUGCAAGUCGAGCGGAUGAAGGGAGCUUGCUCCUGGAUUCAGUGGCGGACGGGUGAGUAAUGCCUAGGAAUCUGCCUGGUAGUGGGGGAUAACGUCCGGAAACGGGCGCUAAUACCGCAUACGUCCUGAGGGAGAAAGUGGGGGAUCUUCGGACCUCACGCUAUCAGAUGAGCCUAGGUCGGAUUAGCUAGUUGGUGGGGUAAAGGCCUACCAAGGCGACGAUCCGUAACUGGUCUGAGAGGAUGAUCAGUCACACUGGAACUGAGACACGGUCCAGACUCCUACGGGAGGCAGCAGUGGGGAAUAUUGGACAAUGGGCGAAAGCCUGAUCCAGCCAUGCCGCGUGUGUGAAGAAGGUCUUCGGGUUGUAAAGCACUUUAAGUUGGGAGGAAGGGCAGUAAGUUAAUACCUUGCUGUUUUGACGUUACCAACAGAAUAAGCACCGGCUAACUUCGUG
rnacentral:rRNA from 1 species